CGAGGAGGGAGCAAAAAAAGCCGCUGAUGAGAUUUUCAAGAAACUCGCGACGAGUUCUGCUGAUGAAAACAUACAGAGCGCAUGUGGAACAGAGGAAGGGAGGCAAGGCAUGGUGGUGGAAGGGAGGCAGAGCAUUGGCAACAUACCUGACCUAAGCCCCCAGUCGUCGCUACCAGUCACCUCCAGUCUCCAUCGAGAGUCGUCUCUGCCAACCACCUCCAGUUGCCGCCUCGCUAG
rnacentral:misc_RNA from 1 species